UACGUAGGGGGCAAGCGUUGUCCGGAUUUAUUGGGCGUAAAGAGCGUGUAGGCGGCCACACAGGUCAGCUGUGAAAACUCGAGGCUCAACCUCGAGACGUCGGUUGAAACCGUAUGGCUAGAGUCCGGAAGAGGAGUGUGGAAUUCCCGGUGUAGCGGUGAAAUGCGCAGAUAUCGGGAAGAACACCCGUGGCGAAGGCGGCACUCUGGGACGGUACUGACGCUGAGACGCGAAAGCGUGGGAGCGAACGAGG
rnacentral:rRNA from 1 species